GAUGAACGCUGGCGGCGUGCCUAAUACAUGCAAGUCGAGCGAACAGACGAGGAGCUUGCUCCUCUGACGUUAGCGGCGGACGGGUGAGUAACACGUGGAUAACCUACCUAUAAGACUGGGAUAACUUCGGGAAACCGGAGCUAAUACCGGAUAAUAUAUUGAACCGUAUGGUUCAAUAGUGAAAGACGGUUUUGCUGUCACUUAUAGAUGGAUCCGCGCCGCAUUAGCUAGUUGGUAAGGUAACGGCUUACCAAGGCAACGAUGCGUAGCCGACCUGAGAGAGUGAUCGGCCACACUGGAACUGAAACACGGUCCAGGCUCCUGCGGGAGGCAGCAGUAGGGAAUCUUCCGCAGUGGGCGAGAGCCUGACGGAGCAACGCCGCGUGAGUGAUGGAGGUCUUCGGAUCGUAAAACUCUGUUAUUAGGGAAGAACAAAUGUGUAAGUAACUAUGCACGUCUUGACGGUACCUAAUCAGAAAGCCACGGCUAACUACGUG
rnacentral:rRNA from 1 species